AUGUGCAUUCCGAAGGAAAGAGGUGGGAUGGGUUUUCGUGAUAUACACAGUUUUAAUUUGGCGCUUCUGGCCAAGCAGUGCUGGAGACUCAUUUGAGUACCAGACUCGCUAUGUGCAAGGGUCUUGCGUGCGAAAUAUUACCCUAGUGGCGAAUUACUCAAUUGCAGUUUGAAGAAAGGUUCUUCCUUUGUGUGGCAGAGUAUUUGGUCAGGAACACAUACUUUUAAGAAAGGAAGCAUUUGGAGAGUGAGAGAUGGACUUAAAAUAAAUAUAUGGGAGGAUUGCUGGGGCCGAACAGCUUCUCCAGAAAAAUUGUCACUCCACGCGGGAAUAGAGUGCUAA
rnacentral:rRNA from 1 species